rfam:Angomonas deanei Cont12464, whole genome shotgun sequence.
UCCGUUGUGGUAUAGUCGGUUAGAACAAGUGGCUCUCACCCACUAGACCCGGGUUCGAUUCCCGGCAACGGAA